rnacentral:lncRNA from 1 species
AGAAUUAUAGGACAGGACCAUCGGAACGUUAUCUACAUCAAUGUCCACUCAAACAUUUUCAGUUCCCAAUAUUCGAAUUCACACACAAAUUAAGAAAUACUCUAAUAUUAUGACUACAUCAACCACAUAUGAUAUAAGUUAUAUAACCAAAUACCUGAAAGUAGGACUAUGGAAAAUCGGAUUUUCAGUUAAAAAUUAGGAACAUAAUUUAGUUACAAGUCAAAAUAACAUAGGGAAAGAUACAGCGAAAGCAGACUUUACUAAUACUUGGGAGCAAUACAUGUUCAUCUAUGAUUCUUUACUAACCAACAUGCUUUAUCAAUGGAAAGCAGAGGCGGGGAUGAACAAACAAAGAGUUAAAGCAAGUUUAGAACCUUAUAUUCUCGUUGAUUGGGUUUUGGGCGACGUCUUCCAUAAAAUCCUAGCCGGCAACUUAGGAAUUCAAUUCAGCAACAAAGCGAUGAUAUGUGUUAUGGUCGGCACUGCUCUUAAAGCCAGGAAUGAAAUCAGAAAAGAACCUGAGAACUGCAGCUAGAUGUUGUGGAUCUUUAGAAA